UACGUAGGGUGCGAGCGUUGUCCGGAAUUAUUGGGCGUAAAGAGCUCGUAGGCGGUGUGUCGCGUCGGCCGUGAAAACCUGCAGCUUAACUGUGGGCGUGCGGUCGAUACGGGCAUCACUGGAGUUCGGCAGGGGAGAGUGGAAUUCCUGGUGUAGCGGUGAAAUGCGCAGAUAUCAGGAAGAACACCCGUGGCGAAAGCGGCUCUCUGGAACGGUACUGACGCUGAAGACGCGAAAGCGUGGGGAGCGAACAGG
rnacentral:rRNA from 1 species